rnacentral:misc_RNA from 1 species
CGAAUGCGUAACAACAGUGAAACUGUUAAAAUCGUAGUUUUUGAGUGUAAGAAAUGGGAAGAUCACAAACCAGUAAACAGAGUCAGUGAGCAUCACUGCUCCAGCAGCCAUCUGGAAAAGAAUCUGGAAGAGGUAGCCACAUCGUCCAGCAAUUUCAGGAACAAGAAGCAUUCUCUUGUAACCCACAUUGUUCGCUAACUUGACGCCAUUCAUAUAGUCUGUGCUUGUAAGGGACUCGAGUAAUCCUUGCUCCACAUCCAUCUGCAUUUUGCUGACAUCGCUGUUUGUUUUGUUAUACAGGUAACAACCAUAGAUGGAAAGUCCUGAACCAAUCCAGAAAUAGAUGGCAGUCAAAGCAAAUGUCCACUGAGUAUAAUAG